GACGAACGCUGGCGGCGUGCUUAACACAUGCAAGUCGAACGGAAAGGCCCUGCUUUUGUGGGGUGCUCGAGUGGCGAACGGGUGAGUAACACGUGAGUAACCUGCCCUUGACUUUGGGAUAACUUCAGGAAACUGGGGCUAAUACCGGAUAGGAGCUCCUGCUGCAUGGUGGGGGUUGGAAAGUUUCGGCGGUUGGGGAUGGACUCGCGGCUUAUCAGCUUGUUGGUGGGGUAGUGGCUUACAAGGCUUUGACGGGUAGCCGGCCUGAGAGGGUGACCGGCGACAUUGGGACUGAGAUACGGCCCAGACUCCUACGGGAGGCAGCAGUGGGGAAUAUUGCACAAUGGGCGGAAGCCUGAUGCAGCAACGCCGCGUGCGGGAUGACGGCCUUCGGGUUGUAAACCGCUUUCGCCUGUGACGAAGCGUGAGUGACGGUAAUGGGUAAAGAAGCACCGGCUAACUACGUG
rnacentral:rRNA from 1 species